UACGGAGGGGGCAAGCGUUUGUUCGGAAUUACUGGGCGUAAAGGGCGCGCAGGCGGCUGCUCAAGUCAGGCGUGAAAGGCCUGGGCUCAACCCGGGAAUUGCGCUUGAGACUGGGCUGGCUUGAGUGCGGGAGAGGAUGGUGGAAUUCCCAGUGUAGAGGUGAAAUUCGUAGAUAUUGGGAAGAACACCGGUGGCGAAGGCGGCCAUCUGGACCGCAACGUGACGCUGAGGCGCGGAAAGCGUGGGGGAGCAAACAGGGAUUAAGAAACCC
rnacentral:rRNA from 1 species